AUGGCAGUAGUGAGUACCUCGUCAGCUCUCCACCUCCGGCCUCUCCUCCUUCUCCUCUUCCCUAUUGCUACCAUCACGGCGAGUGCAUUCCAUGGAUCCAUUGCCGGUGGUACCACGAUCAAUCGAACCGUUAUCGGUGGUGCCACAGGCUAUCGCCCAAUAUCGCCUACAGCUGCUAGGCCCUUGCCUGCACCCCCGGCCAAGGUAACACCUACGACCCCAAGUGCUCAGCCUGCACCCCCGCCCAAGGUAAUACCUACGGCCCCGAGUGCUCUGCCUGCAGCUAUUGGGACAACAAGCAUGAAAGUGAAAUCCUCCUCUGUAAGAAGAGUUGUAGCAAUUUUAGCUCCUGUAGUUGGCUUCAUUUUGCUUAGCAUCUUGUUCCUCGGCACCUAUUUUAUACGUAAACGAAGAACACAACAACAAUAUGAGAUGGAGAUGGAGGAAGAGUUUGGGGAGCUACAAGGAACACCAAUGAGGUUCACAUUUCAGCAGCUAAAAGCAGCAACCGAGCAAUUCGCAGACAAGCUCGGGGAAGGAGGAUUUGGGUCUGUUUUCAAGGGUCAAUUUUGUGAUGAAAGGAUUGCAGUAAAAUGUUUGGAUCGAGCGGGUCAGGGCAAAAAAGAAUUUUCUGCAGAGGUUCAAACAAUUGGCAGCAUUCAUCAUAUUAAUUUGGUCAGAUUGAUUGGUUUUUGUGGAGAGAAAUCGCAUAGGCUCUUGGUAUAUGAGUACAUGCCAAAAGGAUCCUUGGAUAGAUGGAUCUAUCAUCAACAUGACAAUGAUUCACCUCCCCUGAAUUGA
rnacentral:rRNA from 1 species